rnacentral:rRNA from 1 species
GAUGAACGCUGGCGGCGUGCCUAAUACAUGCAAGUCGAGCGAACAGACGAGGAGCUUGCUCCUCUGACGUUAGCGGCGGACGGGUGAGUAACACGUGGAUAACCUACCUAUAAGACUGGGAUAACUUCGGGAAACCGGAGCUAAUACCGGAUAAUAUAUUGAACCGCAUGGUUCAAUAGUGAAAGACGGUUUUGCUGUCACUUAUAGAUGGAUCCGCGCCGCAUUAGCUAGUUGGUAAGGUAACGGCUUACCAAGGCAACGAUGCGUAGCCGACCUGAGAGGGGAAUCGGCCACAUGGGAAUGGGACAAGGUCCAAAAUCCCAAGGGGGGGCAGAAGAGGGAAAUUUCCGGCAGUGGGGGAAGGCUGUAGGGGGAAACGCCGGUUGGGGGAGGAGGGUCUUCGGUUUGUAAAACUCUUUUAUUGGGGAAAAAAAAAUUUGUAAGUAACUAUGCACGUCUGGGGGGUCCCAAAUCAAAAAACCGCGGCUAGCUACGU